GAAGAAUCGCCUGAACCUGGGAGGCCGAGGUUGCAGUGAGCCAAGAUCGUGCCAUUGCACUCCAGCCUGGGCAACAGAGAGAGGCUCUGUCUCAAAAAAAGAAAAAAAAUUAACAAAUCUAAAAUAUUACAUGUAAUGUAUUAUCUAUUUUGACAAUUGUUCCACAAAUGUAUUUUAUGGUCUUUUUAAAAAGUCCAAUCAAAGUUCAUGCAUUACACUUGGUUGUUAGGUUUUCUUCAGUUCAGAGAUUCUCACCUUGGUCACAUUUUGGAAUCAAUCAGUCAAGUAGCCUUAAGAAAUAUGGGCUCCAUCCCUAGAGACCUUAAUUUAACUGUUUUGGGUGUGGUCUGACCAUUGGGUUUUAAAAAUCUUCCUCAGGCAUUUCUAAAAUUCAUCAAAAUUUGAGAAAAACAGCUUUAGUCUCUUAGUCUACAACAGUCUCCCUUUUUUACUUUGAUAUUGAUCCAAACUUACUUGAUGCACUAAGUCCAUAUCUACUUGGCCUAAGAACUUUGACUUCCCUCUCCAUCAAAGUCUUUUUCAGCUGCUUCUGGGAGUCCUUGGGAUUGGUGGUGGUGUACUUGUAGUGUGAAUCAUUCUUUGUUCCAGCCUUUUUUUUUUUUUAAAUCAUUACCUUGCUCCAGGCUAAUCAGUACCACUUGGCCCAUUGUUCAAAUUGCUGCAUUUCCCGGAUCAUGAUUUUCCUAGGGUCUAUGUAGAACUACCAUCAAUGGACGUUACUGGUGGGAUUUUUUUUCCUCUUUAUUACUUUGGUCUGAGCAUGGACACACCAUGCUAAUGCCAGGGAUAAUAUGCAUCAACAUUUAACUAAAGGCUUGAGGAUUAUAUAUAGAAAAGUUCCCAACUUGCUAUUCUAUGUGAUUGUUCUGAGCACAAGACCUUUGGUAUGUCCUAAGAGGGUCCCAUAUCGAGCAAGUGGUGUUACAACUACUUCCAGGCUUACCAAAAAACUGCCUCCUUCACCAACUCCAGGGUUGCCUCCACAUCUGGCGACACGAAUGCUUCCCAGAGUAGCUGUAGGCUGCUUCACUGCUCAAUGAUAGAACCGCAUAGCCCUCUGCGACUUUGACUUUGGGCUUGGUGAUGUGACUUGUUUGCCAAUGGGACAUCAACAAAUAUGACACAAGCCAAGGCUUCAUAAGCAUUUGUGCAUGGGCCUUGCUCUCUUGGAAUGCUUCCACUGCCAUAAAAGAAAACCAGGCAAUUCCACUGGAGAGGUUAUGAGAGGGGGAAUAGAGGAGGCUAUCAAGCCCCAAAUGAACUACCAGAUGACCCAGCCGAGUGAGUGACCCCAGGAUUGCUCAGUGGAGACCUGCCCGAAUUGCAGAAUCAUGAGUAAAUAAUGAUGUUUUAAACCUCUCUGUUCUAUUGAUGAUUGUAGUUUGAAAUAGAAAAAUGAAAAAUAAAUAAAUAAAACCCCUCUAUGUUUUGGAGUGGUUUGUCAUUCACUAAUAGAAAAUAGAUACACUUCAUUUUAAGGGACUUCCCCAGAAGUCCCAACCAAUGACAUCUGUUUACAUUUUG
rnacentral:lncRNA from 1 species